GCGCGGGUGGUGGAAUUGGUAGACACGCUAGCUUGAGGUGCUAGUGGGCAAAACCCAUGGGAGUUCAAGUCUCCCCUCGCGCACCA
rnacentral:tRNA from 1 species